AGACUGUUUUGGUCGUUGUUCACAUUUUGGUUUAAACCGGAAGAUUGGCUCCCCCCUACGCCAAAUGACUGAUGAUGGUAUCGUCCAAAGAUGGCGGCCUCCGUACUGAGACGCUGCCUGAGUGCUGCUAUCAAAGUUAAACAUUCAUCUCCUUCCUUUUCAGCCAGAAGAUGGUUACUUUCAUCAGCUUAUUCAGACACCUCAUUGUGGGAGGCAAGAGAGAAGGACCCUCAAAAUUUGGCUUUGCUGGCCAACAAUAUGGACAGGAUAUAUGAGAGGAAUCUUCCAGUUAGCUCCUUGACUGUGUCUCAGUUUGUAGAUAAUAUAUCAUGCAGAGAGGAGGUGGAUCAAGCUGAAUACUACCUUUACAAGUUUCGCCACAGUCCAAAUUGUUGGUACCUUAGAGAUUGGACUAUUCACAGUUGGAUCAGGCAGUGUUUGAAAUAUGGCGCCAGAGAAAAGGCCCUGCACACGCUCAAAAACAAGGUCCAGUAUGGUAUCUUCCCAGACAACUUUACCUGCAAUCUGCUCAUUAAUUCCUACUUGAAGGAUGAGGACUUCGAAAGCGCAUCAUUUGUCGUGGAGGAGGUGAUGCUACAGGAGGCCUUUGACCUUCCCUCCACACAGAUCCUAUCACUGUACACGCUAGCCAGUUACCUAGCAACUAGACCGAAGCUCACUGUGUCGCAGCAGCGAGCGCUGGGUGCUUCGCUGCUCAUCUGCGGCCUUAAGCAAGACAACAGUGUAGGCCUCACAGCUAUGCUACUAGGGAACGCUCUGCUAGGAAAAGUGGAGAUGGAUAAAGGCAUCCAUGCUGUGUUCAAAGGCAUGCCUCUCUUCUGGGAGCGAGGAUAUAUAAGUCGUGCGCUGGCGGUCAUGGAGAGCGUCGUCACCUCACGUGCUGACAUCAAACUCUCCAAAGAUUCGUUGGCAUUUCUAGGCGACGUGCUGCACAGGCUGUCAUCCACCACGUCCGAUUUGUCUGGAGAGGAAUCCGCGGUGGGGCAAGAAUCAAAAGAAGAAAUUGAUGAAGACGAUCAGGCGGAGAGGGAAAAACUUUCUGAAUAUGAGAGUAAAUUCAAGGUGACGGUCAGCCAAUUGGAGGCUCAGGGAAAAGUUGACGCCUCUGACUUUCGGACAUUGGCAACCAGUCUGGCCCAGCAGCAGCUGCCCUCCGUGGAGAGACCCGACCUUGAUCAUUAUGCGACUCUACUGGAGGCCUGGGAGGUGGAGAGGAAGCAAUUGAUCCAAAGGGAGCAGGAGGCGAGGCGGAAGGCUGAAGAGGAGAAGCAGCAGCGUCUUGCUGCCAAAGCGGCACUCCAGCAACAGGCUUAAAGGGAAGCUGGAGUCAUACUAGCUGACUUUGGACAAGACAUGGUGCCCAAUUUGAUGGAUGAUCAAUCACAAUGCACAAGAAGACAUAGCCAUUCCCAGUUACAGUGGAACUACAAGUGGAAACUCAACUGCACCCUGUCUGCAGCGAUGUCUCAAAUGAACCCCCUCAAUACUGGUGACUAAUUUCAUCAUAUGCAGUAUUAUGACAAUUUAAAAUUAUACACAGUAUGAACUAAUGGUUUUGAAAUGUAAAAUCUAAAUUACCUUCCAACUAUUAGCAAUGUUUGGCUAAGUUUGCUUUCAUGAGACUAUAUGGAGUUUGUCCCUUUUUCACUCGCGACUGCCAUCUGGAAUACACUGCACUUCUCUCAUAACCCCAUCACGGUGUUGGUAAGCUGCUAGGGCUCCUGGGACGUCUCUUUGUCUGGGCUGUCGGUUGCGAAGGGUGAGGGAGGGAUUGGGGCCUUGGUCCGCUCCGCCUUGGCCUUUCGUUGUUCUUCUGCUUUCCUCUCCCCUUUCUGGCAGUCUACCACUGCGGGAUCGUCCUUGGGCCCCGGUGCUGAUCGCCGACUGCGUGACGUGGUUUCACCCCCUCCGGAUGGGUAUCCUCUCCUGUCCGGGCCUAGUGGAACGUGGGGUUCCCACGGUGCUAGUCCUCCCUGUUCAGUUGGUCCAAAAUAUUUCAGUUUACUCAGUGAAGAUCCAUGGCCAAUCACACAGCCACCAAUUUGCUUACAAUAGCCACCUUCCUGGCAUCCCGCCCUGCUGAUAGAAAUGUGUGUCGCAGGCUAUGACGCAAAUCUUCGUUGCCAGAAAUGUUGAAAUUUAAGACUUAUUCUACACAUUUUUACAGCAUUGGAAAACGUUAAGAAUGUGUCAUUUUUGUCCUCCUACAGAAACCAUAUGAAAACAAAAAUUAUAUUUCCAUCCCCAUCUUUUUCCAUUUUCAAACAUUUUUGAAAAUGCUCCAGGGAGCCACUAGGGCAGCGCUAAAGAGCCGCAUAUGGCUCUUAAAACACAGGUUGCCGACACCCGGUUUAAUCAAAGCUUUUGCUGAAUCUGUUAUAUCUUUUUUAAUGUCUGUCGAGAAUAAAAAAAAAAAAAACGUAAAAGACAAAUUUAGAUGAGAGGACAAGGUGUGACAUGUUUUUAUUCAAAUAUUAUCAGACGUUAAAGAUGCCGAAAUGCAGGUUCUUACGUGUGUUCACUGCCUGCUUAAAUCCUGGCGGCAAAUCCAGCUUGUCUGUGCUUGUUUUAGCAGAUAAUGUUUUCCUCUUCAGCUGUAGGAUGACGAAUAAGAUAUUUUCCCUCCUCUUUCAAAAGCCCUCCGGCUAAAAUAUGAUAUCAGAUGAUAAAGCAGCGGUUCACACCUAGCUUCAAAGCCCAAACAAACAUGUAGACAGUCUGAGGGAAAGACUCA